rnacentral:rRNA from 1 species
CCUANGGGGGGCUGCAGUGAGGAAUAUUGGUCAAUGGGGGCAACCCUGAACCAGCCAUGCCGCGUGAAGGAUGAAGGCCUUACGGGUUGUAAACUUCUUUUAUACGGGGCGAAUUGUUUUUAUGCGUAAAGACUUGACAGUACCGUACGAAUAAGCAUCGGCUAACUCCGUGCCAGCAGCCGCGGUAAUACGGAGGAUGCAAGCGUUAUCCGGAUUCACUGGGUUUAAAGGGUGAGUAGGCGGACUGAUAAGUCAGUGGUGAAAGACUGUAGCUUAACUAUAGAAAUGCCAUUGAUACUGUCAGCCUUGAGUGAAGUUGAGGCAGGCGGAAUGUGCAGUGUAGCGGUGAAAUGCUUAGAUAUUGCACAGAACACCAAUUGCGAAGGCAGCUUGCUAAACUUCUACUGACGCUGAGUCACGAAAGCGUGGGGAUCAAACAGGAUUAGAUACCCGUNUANUC